GCACGGAGUUAGCCGGAGCUUAUUCUCCCGGUACUGUCAUUAUCAUCCCGGGUAAAAGAGCUUUACAACCCUAAGGCCUUCAUCACUCACGCGGCAUUGCUGGAUCAGGCUUUCGCCCAUUGUCCAAUAUUCCCCA
rnacentral:rRNA from 1 species